rnacentral:rRNA from 1 species
AGGCCAGACUCCUACGGGAGGCAGCAGUGGGGAAUAUUGCACAAUGGGGGAACCCUGAUGCAGCGACGCCGCGUGAGCGAUGAAGUAUUUCGGUAUGUAAAGCUCUAUCAGCAGGGAAGAAAAUGACGGUACCUGACUAAGAAGCCCCGGCUAACUACGUGCCAGCAGCCGCGGUAAUACGUAGGGGGCAAGCGUUAUCCGGAUUUACUGGGUGUAAAGGGAGCGCAGACGGCAGCGCAAGCCAGGAGUGAAAGCCCGGGGCCCAACCCCGGGACUGCCCUUGGAACUGCGCGGCUGGAGUGCAGGAGGGGCAGGCGGAAUUCCUGGUGUAGCGGUGAAAUGCGUAGAUAUCAGGAGGAACACCGGUGGCGAAGGCGGCCUGCUGGACUGCGACUGACGUUGAGGCCCGAAAGCGUGGGGAGCAAACAGGAUUAGAUACCCCCGUAGG